ensembl:lncRNA
ACUAUGACCAGGGCCCUAUGGGUAGUGCACUACUUUGACCAGGGCCCUAUUGGUAGUGUACUACUUUGACCAGGGCCCUAUGGGUAGUGUACUACUUUGACCAGGAAGAAGUUAUGCUGAGGGGGACAACCUCAAUAAUUUAUCAUCACCAGGCCUUUUAACACUCAAUACAUUUUCUUUACACGGUCUGACACUCACACUCACACUCACACUCACACUCAGACCAACCAUUGACAGACAGUGAAAUGUGCAAGAGGGAAACUCAACACAAAAAAAUGAUUUAGCUUCUUUUUUAUUUUAUCAGUUUAUUUGGCAAAUAAAUCUCACUUGUUUUGUAUUUAAUUUAUUUACAAUAGUAAAAAUAAAUCAUUUGUCAAUGAUAUUUAGGAUUAUACAUUGGACACUUACAGUGCAAUUAUUGUAACAUGUCCCUUCUCAUAAUGUCCCAAAUGCAACCCUAUUCCCACUGGAUUGCACUACGUCUGACAAGGGCACAUAGGGCUCUGGUCUAAAGUAGUGCACUACCCAUAGGGCUCUGGUCAAAAGUAGUACACUACCCAUAGGGCUCUGGUCUAAAGUAGGGCACUACCCAUAGGGCUCUGGUCUAAAGUAGUGCACUACACAUAGGGCUCUGGUCUAAAGUAGUGCACUACCCAUAGGGCUCUGGUCUAAAGUAGUGCACUACACAUAGGGCUCUGGUCUAAAGUAGUGCACUACCCAUAGGGCUCUGGUCUAAAGUAGUGCACUACACAUAGGGCUCUGGUCUAAAGUAGUGCACUACACAUAGGGCUCUGGUCUAAAGUAGUACACGACCCAUAGGGCUCUGGUCUAAAGUAGUGCACUACCCAUAGGGCUCUGGUCUAAAGUAGUGCACUACCCAUAGGGCUCUGGUCUAAAGCAGUGCACUACCCAUAGGGGUCUGGUCUAAAGUAGUGCACUACCCAUAGGGCUCUGGUCUAAAGUAGUGCACUACCCAUAGGGCUCUGGUCUAAAGCAGUGCACUACCCAUAGGGCUCUGGUCUAAAGUAGUGCACUACCCAUAGGGCUCUGGUCUAAAGUAGUACACGACCCAUAGGGCUCUGGUCUAAAGUAGUGCACUACCCAUAGGGCUCUGGUCUAAAGCAGUGCACUACCCAUAGGGCUCUGGUCUAAAGUAGUGCACUACCCAUAGGGCUCUGGUCUAAAGUAGUGCACUACCCAUAGGGCUCCUAGUCAAAAGUAGUGCACUAUGUAGGGAAUAGGGUGCCAUUUGGAACACACAUAUAAAGUGCAUUGUACUUUGUCAUCAUCAGAUGGAUAUUUAACAAUAUAAAGAAGAAAAUAAAAACAUGAUUCCAAGCUGCUACGUCCGAAAUCACACCCUAUCCCUUACACACUCCGCUGCUUUUGCUAUUGGAGUUAGGGUGUCAUUUGGGACGUAAACAAUAAGAACAACAAUAAUAUGUCAGCUCUGUUAUGUCACAGUAUCAUCAACCAAUCAAGUCCCUUGUUCAGGGCCUGACUUCCUUAUUCUGUGAGGGACACAUCCUAACUUUUUUUUUGUGAUCAGACCCUUUUUUUUACAUACCCAAAACUAACUGCCUGUAGCUCAGGACCUGAAGCAAGGACAUGCAUGUUCUUGAUACCAUUUGAAAGGAAACAGUUGUGGAAAUGUGAAAUUAAUGUAGGAGAAUAUAACACAUUAGAUCUUGUAAAAGAAAAUACAACGUUUUUUUUUGUCUUUGAAAUGCAAGAGAAAGGCCAAAAUGUUACAGUCCAGUUUAGGCGCAAUUUAUAUUUUCGCCACUAGAUCGAAGCAGUGUACAUGCAAAGUUUUAGACUGAAUCAAUGAACCAUUGUAUUUCUGUUCAAAAUGUUGUAUCAGGACUGCCCAAAUGUGCCUAAUUGGUUUAUUGAUACAUUUUCAAGUUCAUAACUGUGCACUCUCCUCAUUCAAUAGCAUGGUAUUAUUUCACUGUAAUAGCUACUGUAAACUGGACAGUGCAGUUAGAUUAACAAGAAUUAAAGCUUUCUUCCAAUAUCAGAUAUGUCAAUGUCCUGGGAAAUGUUCUUGUUACUUACAACCUCAUGCUAAUCACAUUAGCCUACGUUAGUUCAACCGUCCCGCAGGGUACCCACCGAUCCUGUAGAGGAUUUAAGUUUAAAUUAGGAUUUCUCCCCUAAGAAACAAUGACAAUUCAACCAUAAACAAUGUUUAUAAUCUGUGAAGGCUAUACAUGGUCCCAGUGAAGUUUAGCUCUCAGGUACCGCUAUAGACAAUCUUUUAGUAAAAGUGAAGAUAAAAUGGCCGAACAUGACAUUUUACCCUGUUCUAAAAUGUUAAUGAAUGGGGGUUACAUAGCCUAGUGCUUUCUAUGUGCUGAAAGCUCUUUACACAGUGGGAAAGGCUAGUUGAUUUAGUGAGUCAGUCUCUUUUGAUUUUCUCCUAUGUGCGCACACACACACACACACACACACAUACACACACAGGUGGCUUAGUUUUAGUGGUUCUUUUGUUAAGCAGCAAAAGCCUUAGCAACGGAAUCCAUCUUUACACAGACUCCGAUAUGAGAAAGAGAGAGAGGUAGAGAGAGAGAGGUAGAGAGAGAGGUAGAGAGAGAGAGGUAGAGAGAGAGGUAGAGAGAGAGAGAGGUAGAGAGGUAGAGAGAGAGAGAUCAAAGAGAGAGAGAGAGAGGUAGAGAGGUAGAGAGGGAGAGAGAGAGAGAGAGGUAGAGAGGGAGAGAGAGAGAGAGAGAGAUGAAGGAGAGAGAUGAAGGAGAGAGAGAGAGAGAGAGAGAGAGAGAGGUAGAGAGAGAGAGAGAGAUGAAGGAGAGAGAUGAAGGAGAGAGAGGUAGAGAGAGAUGAAGGAGAGAGGGAGAGAGAGAUGAAGGAGAGAGAUGUAGAGAGAGAGAUGAAGGAGAGAGGGGUAGAGAGAGAGAGAUGAAGGAGAGAGAGAUGAGGGGGGUAGGGGUUGGGAUAGGGGUUUGGGGUUGGGGUUGGGGUUGGGGUAGGGGUAGGGGUUGGGAUAGGGGUUGGGGUUGGGGAUAAAAUGUUCCUAGAUCAGUCUUGUUUGAUCAGGGUCUUGUAUAUCAUUUCAACAUCAGACGUGGUAGGCUAUCAUACUAUCUCAAAGCUCAUGAAUGCCUUUACCUUGAAAUACACCAGACAGAGAUGCAUACGUGAUAAAUACAUCAACCAAAAUAAACCACUAGUCAUAAGUAAGAAAUAUGGCACUUUUUUAGCAUAAUCCACUACACAUUGUUUCAAGAAAUUAUUUUGACCAUUGAUAAGAACACACACACACACACACACACACACACACACAUUAACAACCAUAUUAUUUAAACACAUGCCCUGAUGACGAAUAUGUAAAAAUAUGUAAAAAAUAUGUUUCUGUACAGCAUUGAAUAAGGAAAAUAACUCCCUUUCUCUCCUGAAGAGACAGUGGCAAGGGUACAGAAAUAGAAUGAGUAGAAUCUAUUUAUAUCGGUUUGUCUACAGCAGUAUGGCCCAUCUUGGUGUGUUUGUACAUACGAGAGUCAAGCUUUUAUCCUGGAGGCCCACCGUGUCUGCUGUAGUUUUCGUUCCUCUGUUAAUUGACCAAUUAACCAAUUAACAUCACUGAUUGGCUAUAGUGGUCACAGCUGGUUUCCAGGUGUGAUUCAAGAGACUAAUUGAAAGUCAAUGAUGAGGAUCACCUGGUUCGUGAUCAUCAGGCACCAAUACGGAAGAAAACGGAGUGAAACUAAUAUGGACAUCCUGCCCUAUUUUCAUUCCUCCGAUUCGAUCCUCCGAUUUCUAUUGGACAAAUUCAUUGUGAACCACGGAGUGAUACACACACACACAGUGCUAGGUCAUUCCACCCCCGCUCUAUAGGCAUAACAGAGUAUAUAUUCACGAUAACGGGAUUCAAUGACACGUGAGGACGCACCUCACAUCAGAGAGUUUCCAGCACCGUGGCUGAACGAUUCCAUCAGAGAGUUUCUACCACCGUGGCUGAACGAUUCCAUCAGAGAGUUUCUACCACCGUGGCUGAACGAUUCC